GGUCUGUGAAGACAUGAAUGGUAUUGACAGAGCUAAUUAACCACAGCACACCGCACCAGGGGAGUCCUGCCGUGUGCUCUGAGGCAAUGCCAAACCUUUCCCCAACUUCAAUGAGCUGGCCCAUCAGCCCAUCCAGUGUGAAUUGCUGCCCUACUUAGCUGACUCACAACACUCAACUGUACCUUUGGGGACAACAGCUAAGAUAGGGUCGCACCAAGUUGCCCAGAAUACCCUUCAGUUUCCAGCCGAAGCUCAAGCUCUGAACUUGGGAUCCUCCUGCCUCAACCUCCCAAUAACCUGGGAUUACCAACCUGUGCUAGCAGACCCAGCUACAGAGCCAUUAUUAGGAGCAAAAAGUUUUCAAGGACAUGUGGGCUGAAGGGCUUCACAC
ensembl:lncRNA